CACAGGGCCAAGUCUCACAGGCUGGCGCUCAGAGCUCCCUGAGCAGCUUGCCCAGGUAAAGGAGGCUCUCUCCUGCCCUCCCCUCCAUCCCCUUGGCCAUGAAGCCUGGAUCAAAGGCUCCAAGCUGGGCUUUUGCCAGGGGCUGGCAGGAUUGGGGUGGGUGGGGGGCCUCGUGGGAAAGGAAACCGUGGAGGUGCAGAGGCUGCUGGAAGAGCUUUGAAGGCCGGAGACCAGGUUCAGAGAUGGUAAGUAACUUGCUCCAGACAACACAGCUCUAAGUAACGCCGGCCGCCGCCGCCACUGAAACCCAGGCAACCCCCCAACUGUUCUGAAGAUGAGCUUCUGCCACUACAGAAGUGACGGGUGGGAGAACUGAGGAUUCCAGCUUCACCAAAGUUCCUCUUAUUUACAACCCCCUUGGGGCCCAGCCAUGGGAACUGUGUGAAACCUAGCUACUGAAUGAGUCUUCUGUCCUUUCUGGGGCUCAGUGUUCCACACCUGCAAAUGGAAACUAAUAUGCCUCACUUGCCCAGCGAUGCUACACAGAAAAGAGCCAGUGAGGGCACCCUGGAGCCAUGGUUACUCAGUCUCCCACUCUCUCAUCCAGACAGGGUGAAUUCUUUGGAUGCCAGGCUGCUGGCCAAGGCUUCUCAAAUACACACAGUAGCCCUGCUUCACCCAAACUAGCCCUCCCCAUCAGAGACCCCAAGGACUGGGGCACUCUAACCCAUGCCCACACCUUCAGGUUUCCCUACCCACCACCAAGCUGCCACUUCUCAGGUGAAGGUGAGAUACAUUUCUCCCAAGAGCCUGGCAACAUCCACUAAAACCCUGAGCCAACCCAGCUGACUGUCUUCCAGCCAGGGACAUGGUGUGCCAGUCUCUUCUAAGAACAGCGUCACCAACGGGUCCCAUUCUCCCUCACAGCCGCUGCUUAGCCCUCCAGGCUCUCUAUUGCUCCUGCCAGGCAAGGAAGAGUUGCCAGCUGUGGUUCCUGGGGCAGAAAGACAGACUCCCUUCCUGGACACUUCCGAAAGCCUUAUUCCUCAUCCACUGGGACCCUGAGUGGCAGCCAAGGAAUGUGUUCUGGUCCUGUUUUACCACGGGGGAAAACCGGGUGAACCUACCAAGAAGAGCCUACGGCUUCCCACCUCUGGAUACUGGAGGAGCCUGCAGGCGCUCAGGUCACUCACC